rnacentral:rRNA from 1 species
GAUGAACGCUAGCUACAGGCUUAACACAUGCAAGUCGAGGGGCAGCAUCAUCAAAGCUUGCUUUGAUGGAUGGCGACCGGCGCACGGGUGAGUAACACGUAUCCAACCUGCCGACAACACUGGGAUAGCCUUUCGAAAGAAAGAUUAAUACCGGAUGGCAUAGUUUUCCCGCAUGGGAUAAUUAUUAAAGAAUUUCGGUUGUCGAUGGGGAUGCGUUCCAUUAGGCAGUUGGCGGGGUAACGGCCCACCAAACCAACGAUGGAUAGGGGUUCUGAGAGGAAGGUCCCCCACAUUGGAACUGAGACACGGUCCAAACUCCUACGGGAGGCAGCAGUGAGGAAUAUUGGUCAAUGGACGAGAGUCUGAACCAGCCAAGUAGCGUGAAGGAUGACUGCCCUAUGGGUUGUAAACUUCUUUUAUACGGGAAUAAAGUGAGCCACGUGUGGCUUUUUGUAUGUACCGUAUGAAUAAGGAUCGGCUAACUCCGUGCCAGCAGCCGCGGUAAUACGGAGGAUCCGAGCGUUAUCCGGAUUUAUUGGGUUUAAAGGGAGCGUAGGCGGGUUGUUAAGUCAGUUGUGAAAGUUUGCGGCUCAACCGUAAAAUUGCAGUUGAUACUGGCGACCUUGAGUGCAACAGAGGUAGGCGGAAUUCGUGGUGUAGCGGUGAAAUGCUUAGAUAUCACGAAGAACUCCGAUUGCGAAGGCAGCUUACUGGAUUGUAACUGACGCUGAUGCUCGAAAGUGUGGGUAUCAAACAGGAUUAGAUACCCUGGUAGUCCACACAGUAAACGAUGAAUACUCGCUGUUGGCGAUAUACAGUCAGCGGCCAAGCGAAAGCAUUAAGUAUUCCACCUGGGGAGUACGCCGGCAACGGUGAAACUCAAAGGAAUUGACGGGGGCCCGCACAAGCGGAGGAACAUGUGGUUUAAUUCGAUGAUACGCGAGGAACCUUACCCGGGCUUAAAUUGCAACUGACUGAACCGGAAACGGUUCUUUCUUCGGACAGUUGUGAAGGUGCUGCAUGGUUGUCGUCAGCUCGUGCCGUGAGGUGUCGGCUUAAGUGCCAUAACGAGCGCAACCCUUACGGGUAGUUACCAUCAGGUUAUGCUGGGGACUCUACCCGGACUGCCGUCGUAAGAUGUGAGGAAGGUGGGGAUGACGUCAAAUCAGCACGGCCCUUACGUCCGGGGCUACACACGUGUUACAAUGGGGGGUACAGAAGGCAGCUACACGGCGACGUGGUGCUAAUCCCAAAAGCCUCUCUCAGUUCGGAUUGGAGUCUGCAACCCGACUCCAUGAAGCUGGAUUCGCUAGUAAUCGCGCAUCAGCCACGGCGCGGUGAAUACGUUCCCGGGCCU